rnacentral:tRNA from 1 species
GGGGCUGUAGCGCAGUUGGGAGCGCGUCAGACUGGCAGUCUGAAGGUCGCGAGUUCGAUCCUCGCCAGCUCCA